rnacentral:rRNA from 1 species
CUGUGAUUAUAAAUUUAACGGCCGCGGUAUUUUGACCGUGCAAAGGUAGCGCAAUCACUUGUCUUUUAAAUAAAGACCCGUAUGAAUGGCAUAACGAGGGCUUAGCUGUCUCCCUUUUCUGGUCAAUGAAAUUGAUCUCCCCGUGCAGAAGCGGGGAUGUGAACAUAAGACGAGAAGACCCUGUGGAGCUUUAAACACCAAAGCAGACCAUGUUAAAUAACCUCUCCUAACAACUAAAACCAAUAGGAAACUGUUUUGCUGUUUUUGGUUGGGGCGACCGCGGGGUAAUAAUUAACCCCCAUGUAGAAUAAGAGUACAACCUCUUUGAAGCAAAGAGCCACAGCUCUCAGUUACAGAACUUCUGACUAAGAAUGAUCCGGUAAAACCGAUCAGCGAACCGAGUUACCCCAGGGAUAACAGCGCAAUCCUCUUUGAGAGCCCAUAUCGACAAGGGGGUUUACGACCUCGAUGUUGGAUCAGGACCUCCUAAUGGUGCAGCCGCUAUAAAGGGUUCGUUUGUUCAACGAUUAAAGU